UGAAUGUAUUAUAAUGUGCAGACAGUGUUUUGAAGUAGAUCUGGUAGCUCUGAGACAAAUAUUCUUUUUGAGUUAAACACAUUUUCUCAUUAAUUCUCGAAUGUCACAUUUUGGUCCAAGACUGUAUCUUUGAAACUUUAGCGAACCAGCAUUUUUGACUAGAUUUGUCUUUAUCAGUGACUCACAGGUGGUAAAAUUUCAUUAUUUUACUGAU